UGGGUGUUGUAUGGAAACCAAUUUGACAGUAAAUUAUAUUUUAAAAAAAAAGCAAAAAAAAAAAAGCUUUUAAGGAGACUUUAGCAUGCGCUGGGAAUGCAUCUUCUCACAACAACCCAAGGUGGUCUUCAUAUUAACUCAUUUUAGCCUCGAUUUCCUGAUAUGGAGACUGUGGCUGAGAGGGAUGAGGAACUUGCCCAAAGUCCCAGGAGCUGGAACGUGUUAGGGCUCAGGUGUGUGCCCACUGUGAAUCCUUUAAGGGAUUAAUAUGAGAGCAGUAGGCAUUUUGAUGAGAGAAAAGCCAUCCAGUCCAUAGCAAAAUGCUGGGUUAAAUGAAGUUAAAAACCGGUUAUUUCCUCUGCUUUUUUCCUGGGAUUUAGAGCCUCAGCUGUGCUUCCUUACAGCACGUUGUGAACCUGCAGGAGAAUGGAGUCUGAGGAGCACGUCCCUACAUCGACGUUGUGCAGAAAACACUUGGAAAAUGCUGGCUUGGAAUCUUCCCCCAUAGCCACGGCACCUCCUUAGACGCCAAGGAGUUCCUGGAAGGUGAUGGCUUUGCUUUAGCAGGUUGCCUCUUACUCAGUGUGUGAAGAUUGAAUCACUUUGGAAUCCAUUUGUAUUUAGUUACUGGAGGUGUAGCAUUGAGCGUAUUUUGUGUUGGAAACCGCAGGUAGGACCUGUUUCUGUAAAUGAUUUAUUUCCAUGGAUCUCUUCCUUUAAUUGAUUUGAUAUUUACUUAAGAAAGUUCUUUCUUUGCUUGCCUUGUCAGCCCCCUCUGAGAGCUUUUGUAAAGUAUGUCGCCGUCAUAAAUAGCCUGAUUCCUCCCCGGACCAGUUGUUUCUCUGAGGUUUAUGCAUCUUUAAAUGGAUUCUGGGCACCAUUUCAUAAGGAUUUUUCUUGAAGUUCUCUUUUGGGAUAAAACCCAUGGCUCGAGGAAGCUUUAACCUGGACCUCAGUUAACACUAUGGACUAUUGAAGUAGCUGCAAUCCUACUUGGAUUUUAAAUAAAAGCAUCUUUAGAAAUGUUUGCUAGUUUCAUUGAUUAUAAAAUUCAAUCUAAAUGCAAACAGGGUGACGGUGAUGUAAACUCAGCUUUAAAACAAAUCCGGUGCCAGCCCUCCCAACUGCACAGCCAGCCUUAAGCCAUUCUAGAGUGGCCACUGGAUGUGUAAGCUGUGAUGCAGAGUCCUUCAGCUGGGAGGCCAGUAAGUCUAGAGUGGCCCAGUGUCUUCACCUCUCUGCGUAAUAGAGAUUCCAAGGUCCUAAGAUGAUUUGUGUGUAUUUCAUCUCAGUCCCCGUUCAUAUUGUGGUAGUAAGGCAGGUAUGGAGCAUGCUCUUCAAGUUGAAUUUUUGAGCUCCGUGGAGCUGGCCGUGCAGGAGUCCAGGCCUAGGGAACAGGGCUUGAAGAAGGGAUGUCCCCAUUCUGUAACUAGUCCCCCUUUCUCAACAGCAGCUGGAAGCCGUUCAGUCCUUUUUCACCACCCUUUCUCUUCCUGUAAAUAGAAAAAUACUGCCUUUCUGCAAAAUGAUAUUUCAAGAAGCAUCUAUGGUGUGUGUCUCAAGCUCACUUAAAAGGAAGAGUGGUUUUUAUAGGGACAGGAAAACUGAAGGCCAAGGUCACCAGACCUAAAGAGAGCUAAGAAAGAAAACUGCCUUCCAAAGCAUCCAGCCGUUCCCAGCCACGGAGUCCUAUUGGUGUCCAAAGCUUACAGUGCAAGUGAUUUCAACUCAGAGCUCCUGGCUGCAGUCUUGGAAUUGGCCCUAUGAACUUCAGGGAGUCACUGAAUUUCAACUUUGCUUAGGGAAGUCCACGACAUGGGGCAAACCCUGUUCAGCCUUCCAGGGAACUUCCAGAGUUACGGACUCUUGUAUGACUUGGUCAUUUAAGUAUACUUCCCAGACAGCAGUCCUUCAUUUCGCCCUUAUCAACAUAAAUAUUUUCCCAAAUGUUGCUUUCUGCUUUACCCUUUUCUCUGAGGAGGAAAGUAUUGUCAGUGGAGAGGGCAGACCAAGGGCAGGGAACGGCUCAUUUUUCCGCAUCAUGGAAAACAUAGGAUGUGCAGGAAACACAUCCUUUCAGCUGGCCUAAUCCCUCAGUGAGGCUCAUUUCAUUGUGUUCCGUCCUUGUUCGAACGUGAUAAAAAUAGAACACUCAGAGUGCCAUGUCUGUAGAACCAGAGUGAAAUGGAGAGUUGAGGUAAUUGCCCAGAUAAUCCAAGCAAAGACAAAACAAAACAAAACAAAACAAAACAAAACAAAACAAAACAAAACAAAACAAAACCAACCACUGGUGAGAAAAAAAGCAGCUUUAGGAGUUUAAAUGAUCCAGCCUGGUUCUCUACAUUGUUCAAAUUCAUCAGCUCUGCCUCUAUAUUUACUUUUUCUACAUAGACUGAGCCUAAGUUAUGUUGAAGAGUUUUCUUCCCCCAAUUUUAUCUCAAGUACCACCUCAAAAAAAAAUGCUUUUGCGUUGGAGUAUCCCUCUCUGCCGUAUUUCCCAGUAAGAGGGAAAGUAGAUCUCAUAAUAGACUUAUACAUGUUUUGAUAUAAGUGUAAAAAACAGGGGCUCUGGAGUUUGGAGAGAUUUCUUUUUCCUAUGUUUCUGUGAGUUCCCCUUAGCAGGUUGCUAAAUGCUGGAGAUGGUUUAUCUACACACUCACAUGUUUUAGACCUGUUGCUUUAUGCUUGGCUAAGUGCCUGUCAUGUGUGUUGGUUGCCGGCCCAACAGCUUGGCUCAUUUAGAAAAUCAGGGAACCCAAUUUCCUCUGAGAUAGCAGCCGGUAAUAUUCCACUGGAUGCUAGUGAGACACUGCCUGAAUUGGAGAUGUCGUCCUGGCCGGAGUUCUUCUUAGACUGGCUUCCCACGUUGGGACCUUGGGACUGUGACUGGUCUCUCAGAUUACACCCCUUGACCUUGUUGUUUUCAAGACACUGCUUUUCUCAAUCUCCCUCUUACAUGGACUCAAACCUGUUCAUUCAUUCUUCUGAUUUUUUCCUUCUGCCUCUUUCCCGACAUAACCAGCCACCAAGUUCUAUGGAUUCUUCUUUCCCAAAAGUUUCCAUUAUUCUAAACUUUAAUUUUAUUCCCAUUCCUUGAGUUUCGGUUCCUAUUUUCUUAUCUUUCUCAGUAAUUUCCUGAUUUUUUUCAGUCUCACCUGUUUCUAAUCUGUCCUAAGUAAAUGCCAGAACAAACUUCCUUGAAGCUCUCCUUAAUUGAAUUGUAAUUCCUUGCGGAAAAAAAAAAAAAAAAAAAAAGAAAAGAAAAGAAAAUUCCUUCCUUGAUGGCUACUUGCUGCUUAACAUAUUUUGCUCAAAUCCCUCACCCUGGCAAUGAAAGCUUUGUCAGUUUUGUUGUGAUGACUUUGGACCCUCAUGUGAAAAGUCACCUCCAGCAAGGCAAGCUUAUUGUCCUUCUACAUGACGUGCCCUUCCUUCUCUUGCUCAUCUAUCAAAAUCCUGACCAUCUUCCAAGUCUAGAUUGGAUAUCCUACUUGUUCCACAAAGAUUUUUCUGUCGACCUUGGAAGGAAGUGACCAUUUUUGAACUGGAGUCACAGAAUCUUAGAGGUUGAAGACAUCUUGGAAGAUGCUGAGUCCAACUUUCUACCCUUUGACCUUUGCUGGAACAUGUCCAAGAUGGGGAAUACAUAAACAUGGCAGCUCACUGCAUUUACUGGUAAGAAUGUCUUUCUUUGCUUCCUUCCUCCCUUCCUUCCUUCCUUCCUCUCUCUCCCUUUCUUUCC